AUUGAACGCUGGCGGCAGGCUUAACACAUGCAAGUCGAGCGGGGUGAUGGUGCUUGCACUAUCACUUAGCGGCGGACGGGUGAGUAAUGCUUAGGAAUCUGCCUAUUAGUGGGGGACAACAUCUCGAAAGGGAUGCUAAUACCGCAUACGUCCUACGGGAGAAAGCAGGGGAUCACUUGUGACCUUGCGCUAAUAGAUGAGCCUAAGUCGGAUUAGCUAGUUGGUGGGGUAAAGGCCUACCAAGGCGACGAUCUGUAGCGGGUCUGAGAGGAUGAUCCGCCACACUGGGACUGAGACACGGCCCAGACUCCUACGGGAGGCAGCAGUGGGGAAUAUUGGACAAUGGGGGGAACCCUGAUCCAGCCAUGCCGCGUGUGUGAAGAAGGCCUUAUGGUUGUAAAGCACUUUAAGCGAGGAGGAAGCUCUUUUGGUUAAUACCCAAGAUGAGUGGACGUUACUCGCAGAAUAAGCACCGUCUAACUCUGUGCCAGCCGCCGCCGUAA
rnacentral:rRNA from 1 species